CAACUUUACGCUCGGCCCGACCAAGAGGAGUGAUGUGGCGUCGUCGUCACAAGACGACAAGCUACAAGCAGGCAUGAAUAGCGGCCCAUUCGUUGUUCCGCCCGCUGUGAUUGGCCCACGAGAAACAGACCUAAGGCGGCCAGUUGUCCCAUCACUCACCUAUAAAAGGGAAGAAGGUUGAUGUGACAAGACAUAACGUGUGCUGAGAGAGUACAGUGAGUACAGCAAAGAGCUCGGCUUGUAGUCUCCUAAGUGUCGAUCAGUUUUCUUCUCCUGUUAUAACUUAUAUUCGCCGAUCUUUGAUUAAUAUAAGACGUGUCUUCUUGUUCGACCUCUAUCUUGGAUUUGAUACUCCAUGUGACGAACUCAUCAAUCAACAGAUAUGUGAUGCAGAUAGACCAUAAGUAUAUGUACAACAGUGGUUGGAUUGGAUCUCAUCAGACCCGCCGGUUGGGUUUUGGAUGAUAACUCCGAGCAAUGAGUUCCGUCUUGGUGGCAUCAAGCAAGACUUCACCUCUCAUGCCGGACAGAUCACCCUAUCCGUUAGUCACUUAAUUAACUUACCAUUUUAUAAACAAGUAUACAUAUUUCUAAAUUUUCUACCAUGAUUAACUUUGAAUAUAUAUUAAUAUAUUGUUUAUUUAUUUAUUUUGGUAACGAUGUAGUAGUAGACAAUAUCUGAG
rnacentral:lncRNA from 1 species